CCUAAUUUUAAUCAAGAACAAGAUUAACACAAUUUAAUAACAGAAAAUUAGCAAGAUAUAAAUAAAUUAAUUAACUCAAACAUGAAUUAAUGGAGAAUCAAGAACAUGGGCCAGAGGUGUGUAAAACGGAUUGGAGGUAUGAAACAGUGAAAUCUUGGGUCAUGAAACUCUAGGGCAACAAAGCCCAACUUCUCAAAACCGGAUCUUUACACAAACUCCUAUCUCAGCAAUGUCCAAACACUCUUCACAAGUUCAUAAUGAGAAAGAAGACGAAAAAAGACUUACAUGAAAAAUGGAAAACUCUCACUGUCGGUGUCGCAACCUUGAAUCCCUCCGUGUAAGAACCGCGCACCGCUGCUUAUAGUCGAUUAGUUCUUCCGCGUGUUGAUCGAGAUGAAGAUGAAGCUCCGCGCUCGUGUGUUGAUGAUUGCGAUGAAGAACGAAGAUUUGUGUUUGUGUGUGUUGCAUCGCAGGAUGAAGGAUGACGAUUUGUGUUCGUGAUGAAGAUCAAGAUGUUAUUGCAGGAUGAAUCUUCCUCUCGAUUUCCCGUUACGAUUCAGUGCGAGGCCUUCAUAGCGAAUUAGUUAGGUUAGCUGAUUUUGGUUCAUAGGAUAGUUUUAGUAGGAGCGAGGAGGUUGAAAGGUUGAACCUUGGAAGAAGGUUAGAGAUGAAGUUCAGCAAGGGUCUUUGGAGGAGCUCAUAGAUAGUUUUUGGAAGGUGUUGUUGAUUGAAGUUAGAAGCAGUUCUGGGAGAUCGUUUUAGCCGAUUGCCGGAGGUUAGAAAAUGGAGGGUUCUGUUAUGGCUUGGGUUCUGUUCUGUUUUGGGUCUUGUUCUGUGAAGUGGAGGGUGAGGGGGAGGAGUGAAGAGUUAGAGAAAGAGGGUGGUUGGAGGGUGAGAGUUUGGUUCGAAGAAGGUUGUUAUGGAAGGUCCUUUUAGAGGUUGAUUAGGAUUAUGUUAUAUGGUUGUGGAAGUUGGCGAUUGAGAGUUUUGGUGAGAGAUUUUUCCAUUCUGUUAUGACAGUUGGUUGUGAGUGUUAUCCGAGCUCAGAAAAAUUGGAAUUGUUAGGUAGAGGGAUCGAAGAAGUCAGGAAAUUGAAGUUGAGAGAGUGGUCUUUGUAUAGAAGUUGGGAAGAGUUAGCCCAGUGAAUGUGAUACAACUAUGUGCCUUGUUAUGCUAAUGAUGACUUUAGGAGAACUAUGUAAAAAAAAAGUGUCAAGUCUCUUAUGCCAGGUUCAGAAAUGAAUUUAGGACUUGAAUCAAUAGGUAUAUGCUGAAAAUGUGGAUGUAAUGUUAAAUUGGAUUCCUACGGCUAGUGAAUUUUGGUUAAUCAUGAAUGUGUAAAGUCAACGAAUUGGAUAUGAAUGCGUGGUUAUGAUGAAAAACAGUUUUUGUAAUUAAAUGCCUUUGUACAUGGUUGAAAUGUGAUCUUGGUGGUUAAAUGCAUGGAAAUUUUGAAUGGAA